rnacentral:rRNA from 1 species
UACGUAGGGUGCAAGCGUUAAUCGGAAUUACUGGGCGUAAAGCGUGCGCAGGCGGUUGUGUAAGACAGAUGUGAAAUCCCCGGGCUCAACCUGGGAACUGCAUUUGUGACUGCACGGCUGGAGUGCGGCAGAGGGGGAUGGAGUUCCGCGUGUAGCAGUGAAAUGCGUAGAUAUGCGGAGGAACACCGAUGGCGAAGGCAAUCCCCUGGGCCUGCACUGACGCUCAUGCACGAAAGCGUGGGGAGCAAACAGG